rnacentral:rRNA from 1 species
AGGGUUUGAUCCUGGCUCAGAAUCAACGCUGGCGGCGCGCCUAACACAUGCAAGUCGAACGAGAAAGGGGAGCAAUCCCUGAGUACAGUGGCGUACGGGUGAGUAACACGUGGAUGAUCUACCCUUUUGUGGGGAAUAACCAUGGGAAACCGUGGCUAAUACCGCAUAAGCUCGAGAGAGGAAAGCAGCAAUGCGCAGAAGGAGGAGUCCGCGGCCGAUUAGCUAGUUGGCAGGGUAAAAGCCUACCAAGGCAGAGAUCGGUAGCCGGCCUGAGAGGGCACACGGCCACACUGGCACUGAAACACGGGCCAGACUCCUACGGGAGGCAGCAGCGGGGAAUCUUGCACAAUGGGGGAAACCCUGAUGCAGCGACGCCGCGUGAGCGAUGAAGCCCUUCGGGGUGUAAAGCUCUUUCGGCAGGGAAGAUGAUGACGGUACCUGCAGAAGCAGCUGCGGCUAACUACGUGCCAGCAGCCGCGGUAAUACGUAGGCAGCAAGCGUUGUUCGGAGUUACUGGGCGUAAAGGGUGUGUAGGCGGUUGUUUAAGUUUGGUGUGAAAUCUCCCGGCUCAACUGGGAGGGUGCGCCGAAUACUGAAUGACUAGAGUGCGGGAGAGGAAAGUGGAAUUCCUGGUGUAGCGGUGAAAUGCGUAGAUAUCAGGAGGAACACCGGUGGUGUAGACGGCUUUCUGGACCGUAACUGACGCUGAAACACGAAAGCGUGGGUAGCAAACAGGAUUAGAUACCCUGGUAGUCCACGCCCUAAACGAUGCAUAUUUGGUGUGGGCAGUUCAUUCUGUCCGUGCCGGAGCUAACGCGUUAAAUAUGCCGCCUGGGGAGUACAGUCGCAAGGCUGAAACUCAAAGGAAUUGACGG